rnacentral:rRNA from 1 species
CCUACGGGGGGCAGCAGUGGGGAAUAUUGGACAAUGGGGGGAACCCUGAUCCAGCCAUGCCGCGUGUGUGAAGAAGGCCCUCGGGUUGUAAAGCACUUUCAGUGAGGAAGAACGCCUGGUGGUUAAUACCCAUCAGGAAAGACAUCACUCACAGAAGAAGCACCGGCUAACUCCGUGCCAGCAGCCGCGGUAAUACGGAGGGUGCGAGCGUUAAUCGGAAUUACUGGGCGUAAAGCGCGCGUAGGUGGCUUGAUAAUCCGGUUGUGAAAGCCCCGGGCUCAACCUGGGAACGGCAUCCGGAACUGUCAAGCUAGAGUGCAGGAGAGGAAGGUAGAAUUCCCGGUGUAGCGGUGAAAUGCGUAGAGAUCGGGAGGAAUACCAGUGGCGAAGGCGGCCUUCUGGACUGACACUGACACUGAGGUGCGAAAGCGUGGGUAGCAAACAGGAUUAGAUACCCCAGUAGUC